GUAAUUCAAGUUGAUUAUCUGUCAUUUGCAACAGUGAAUGAUGAGCCUAACACUGGAAUAACAUUAUAAGAUUCAAAUACUGAACUCCUGGCAUCUCAUCAGGACAUUCCAUUUGACUUUACCUGGAAAUGGAGGAACGCUUGCAAAGAGAAAAUGGAACCUGUGCAUCAGAACACCGGCUCAGAAGCAGAUCAAGGAUGAGUACUUUGAGAAACACAGGUACCUUUAAGUAUUCCAUAUCAAUGACAGAAUCACUGGCUGCCCGGAGCAGAGAGGGCCACUGUGGAGCUGUCACUUCUUCAAUCACUUGUGUUUCAACUUUGAUUCAUUCCUACACUCACCAGUGGGGAGUUGUGAAGUGUGCUGCCUUCUUAUCUGAUCCACUUGAAUCUGGAUGUGGUAUCUUGGACGACACAGAAUGAAAUGCAAGAUAAUAAGAAGGAUACGAAAUGGAUCGUAAAGCUUCUGCUCAGAAGACUUUAUGUCACCUCUUCUACUUCACUCAUCAAACCAAGCCAUGUGUCUGAGCUUUAUGGCAACAGGACAGAGACCCAGUACUAGUAACAUGAUAUGGAAUAGAGAUGUAUAAUCCUAUUAUAGGUGGGACAACAAAUAAUUGGAAAUAAAUUAAAAUCUUGGGUUACA
rnacentral:lncRNA from 12 species